UGAUUUAUUUAUGCACCUCUCACCUGGUCUCCCAGGCAGUAUUUUUUCUCUCCCUUCCAGACCCCUGCUGCAGCCUCCUUGUCUCCCUGCUGAUGAGGGUGUGGAUGAAGCCUGCCUUGCCCAGGAGGCCCUCGGGGUUGAGCAGCUGGAGGAAGUUGAGAUAAGUAAUCUGGAAGGUGCCCUUGUGCAGGUGGAAGAGGAGACAGCUGAAGCUGAUGCUGAAGCUGCAGAUGCCUUGUCCUUUGCUUGAAGCACCUAGCAGGCUGCUAGCAGCAUGGCCAGGCGGGCCCGGGACGUCGAGCUGCACCGGCUGGUGCAUGACAAGGCAGGGGCUGGCAGGGACCCCUCCCCUGCUGGCCACGGGGCUCGAGAGCUGCUCCCCAAUGUGCCCAGCCCCCGAGCCCCCGCUGCCGCCCGCACCCCCGUCCCUGGCGCCUGCAAGCCACAGGCUGGAGUUGUCAACCCCAAUUUUUGCACUGAGGAGCAAUCCCCACUAGGUAUUAGAGAUGUUGGCUUUGUGUAGCUAGAGGGG
rnacentral:lncRNA from 1 species